GUCUGGUAUAGAGUCCAGUACCUUUAACUCACUAAAGUAAGAAGGGGCUUAGAGUCAGGUAGAACAGUCCGGACCUAAGGCACCGAGUUAAAGUGCUUAGUCAGGUAUAGAGUCCUGCAGCUAAGGCACUGAGUGUUUGUAAGAGUCGGGUAAAUAGCUAUAAGUCCCGUACCUUAAUUCACUAAAAAA